GAUGAACGCUGGCGGCGUGCCUAAUACAUGCAAGUCGAGCGAACAGACGAGGAGCUUGCUCCUCUGACGUUAGCGGCGGACGGGUGUGUAACACGUGUAUAACCUACCUAUAUGUCUGGGAUAACUUCGGGAAACCGGAGCUAAUACCGGAUAAUAUAUUGAUCCGCAUGGUUCAUUAGUGAAAUACGGUUUUUCUGUCUCUUAUAGAUGGAUCUGCGCCGCAUUAGCUAGUUGGUGAGGUAACUGCUUACGAAGGCAAGGAUGCGUAGCCGACCGGAGAGGGUGAGCAGCCACACUGGGAGUGAGACACGGUACAGACGCCUACGGGAGGCAGCAGUAGGGAAUCGUCCGCAAGGGGCGAAAACCUGACGGAGCAACGCCGCGUGAGUGAUGAAGGUCUUCGGAUCGGAAAACUCUGUUAUUAGGGAAGAACAAAUGUGUAAGUAACUAUGCACGUCUGGACGGUAACUGAUCAGAAAGCCACGGCUAACUACGUU
rnacentral:rRNA from 1 species